rnacentral:lncRNA from 1 species
CCAAAUAAUGGAUAAAUAGUAAAUGUUAAGGAGACAAUCUCCCAACACCAAAGUUACUAUGUGAUCACAUAUUGUUUUAGUAUUCUUACUAUUCACACACAGAUGAAAACAGAAUGGAUAAAAGUAAAACAUACCAAUGAAACUUCUAAAGCGAAAGUCCUUAAUUAACUGGCAAAAAAGGGAGGGCUCAAACACAUCAAACUAAUGGAAAGCAACUGUCAUAUUCCUGACUUGGUACAGGCAUUUUCUACUGUAGAAAAUGGUGGAUAAAAGCUGGUUUUAAAGCUAGCUGAACCUCUCACUUUUAUGACAGUCGCAUAGUAUUCCAUUUAAUUGAAAAAUGGGGUACAGCAGUCGAUCAACAUGGUGUUUAAAUCUUAAAUACCAAGAGACAUCAAAUAUGUCAAUAGAAAAGAACAAAAUAAUACAAAAACACUCAAGAGACAAGACAUAUUAGCAAAAAGUAAGACAAAAAUUUAAAAAUUACCAUAACACAAUAGGACACAUGCAGGAUGUAAAAAUACCAAGCCACGCCAAAACGAUAAUAUCAAAAAAGGAACGAAACAGUUGGGGUUAGAAUUAUACAGACAACAAAAAAGAACACUGUGCCACGUAAUUAAGAUAAUAAACAACUACAGUACCUAGAAUCUAUACUUCAAAAAAUAUUAUCAAAAGUACCAUCUAUAGAUUGUAUUAGUAUUUUAACUUUUCUUACAUACAUGAAAAAAGAAUGGAUAAAUAGUAAAUGUCAAGGACACAAUCUCCCAUCUCAAAAGUUGUGAAGUCAAUUUCAUAAUGGUGGCACUCUUCUUAUUUAUGCAGUUUAUACAUAUAGUUGUGACUGGAAGUAAAGUAAUCAAAAAUUAAUCAGAGUGGUGGCCUAUGUACAUUUUAAUAAGAAAAGAGAGAUAAUGCAAGUAAUGGCAUCCUCUAAAAAAAUAUUAUCCCAUGGAGAGUUAUGCCCUUCCAACAGAAAGUGUGGGGCAUAUUCUUUUACAUCUGUAUGUCUACAGUGUGCAUAUGAUAUAGAUUAAGAAAUCUUUCUAUUAAAAACAAACAACAACAAGCUGUUGGACUUAAUGACAAUUUUUCCUUUAUGUAAAGUUUUUCCAUCUAAAAUUAUGCUGUUGCACUUCGUGUUCACCUAUUGUCUUUUUUUUUUUUAAAAGCAACUUGUUUUUUAAAUUUGUUUAUCUG